GACGGAAGGUGCAAGCGUUGCUCGGAAUUACUGGGCGUAAAGCGUGCGCAGGCGGUUUUGUAAGUUUGUCGUGAAAGCCCCGGGCUCAACCUGGGAAUUGCGAUGAAGACUGCAAGGCUUGAAUCUGGCAGAGGGGGGUAGAAUUCCACGUGUAGCAGUGAAAUUCGUAGAGAUGUGGAGGAACACCGAUGGCGAAGGCAGCCCCCUGGGUCAAGAUUGACGCUCAUGCACGAAAGCGUGGGGAGCAAACAGG
rnacentral:rRNA from 1 species